rnacentral:rRNA from 1 species
UACGUAGGGUGCAAGCGUUGUCCGGAAUUAUUGGGCGUAAAGCGUACGUAGGCGGAUUGUUAAGUGAGGGGUGAAAUCCCGAGGCUCAACCUCGGAACUGCCUUUCAUACUGGCAAUCUUGAGUCCGGGAGAGGUGAGUGGAACUCCUAGUGUAGAGGUGAAAUUCGUAGAUAUUAGGAAGAACACCAGUGGCGAAGGCGGCUCACUGGCCCGGAACUGACGCUGAGGUACGAAAGCGUGGGGAGCAAACAGG